rnacentral:rRNA from 1 species
UACGUAGGGUCCGAGCGUUGUCCGGAAUUAUUGGGCGUAAAGGGCUCGUAGGCGGUUUGUCGCGUCGGGAGUGAAAACACGGGGCUUAACCCCGUGCCUGCUUCCGAUACGGGCAGACUAGAGUGUGGUAGGGGAGACUGGAAUUCCUGGUGUAGCGGUGAAAUGCGCAGAUAUCAGGAGGAACACCGAUGGCGAAGGCAGGUCUCUGGGCCACUACUGACGCUGAGAAGCGAAAGCAUGGGGAGCGAACAGG